rnacentral:rRNA from 1 species
ACAUCCGCAUCCUUUGCUGAGGAUACGGUUAACGGAGCGAAAGCGACGUUCAACCGCAAAACAAGCAGAGGGGGCUUAGUGGUGGGGUGACUGCGUACCUUUUGUAUAAUGGGUCAGCGACUUAUAUUCUGUAGCAAGGUUAACCGAAUAGGGGAGCCGGAGGGAAACCGAGUCUUAAUUGGGCGUUAAGUUGCAGGGUAUAGACCCGAAACCCGGUGAUCUAGCCAUGGGCAGGUUGAAGGUUGGGUAACACUAACUGGAGGACCGAACCGACUAAUGUUGAAAAAUUAGCGGAUGACCUGUGGCUGGGGGUGAAAGGCCAAUCAAACCGGGAGAUAGCUGGUUCUCCCCGAAAGCUAUUUAGGUAGCGCCUCGUGAAUUCAUCUCCGGGGGUAGAGCACUGUUUCGGCUAGGGGGCCAUCCCGGCUUACCAACCCGAUGCAAACUGCGAAUACCGGAGAAUGUUAUCACGGGAGACACACGGCGGGUGCUAACGUCCGUCGUGAAGAGGGAAACAACCCAGACCGCCAGCUAAGGUCCCAAAGUCAUGGUUAAGUGGGAAACGAUGUGGGAAGGCCCAGACAGCCAGGAUGUUGGCUUAGAAGCAGCCAUCAUUUAAAGAAAGCGUAAUAGCUCACUGGUCGAGUCGGCCUGCGCGGAAGAUGUAACGGGGCUAAACCAU